GCUAGGAUAGCUCAGUUGGUAGAGCGGAGGACUGAAAAUCCUUGUGUCGUCAGUUCAAAUCUGACUCUUGGCA
rnacentral:tRNA from 1 species